UACGUAGGGGGCAAGCGUUGUCCGGAUUUAUUGGGCGUAAAGAGCGUGUAGGCGGUUUGGUAGGUCCGCUGUGAAAACUCGAGGCUCAACCUCGAGACGCCGGUGGAAACCAUCAGACUAGAGUCCGGAAGAGGAGAGUGGAAUUCCUGGUGUAGCGGUGAAAUGCGCAGAUAUCGGGAGGAACACCGGUGGCGAAGGCGGUUCUCUGGGCCUGUACUGGACGCUGAGGAGCGAAAGCGUGGGGAGCGAACAGG
rnacentral:rRNA from 1 species